rnacentral:rRNA from 1 species
UACGUAGGGUGCAAGCGUUGUCCGGAAUUAUUGGGCGUAAAGAGCUCGUAGGCGGUUCGUCGCGUCGGCUGUGAAAACCCGGAGCUCAACUCCGGGCCUGCAGUCGAUACGGGCGGACUGGAGGUAUGCAGGGGAGAACGGAAUUCCUGGUGUAGCGGUGAAAUGCGCAGAUAUCAGGAGGAACACCGGUGGCGAAGGCGGUUCUCUGGGCAUGUCCUGACGCUGAGGAGCGAAAGUGUGGGGAGCGAACAGG